UGGACCUACGGGGGGCAGCAGUGGGGAAUAUUGGGCAAUGGGCGCAAGCCUGACCCAGCAACGCCGCGUGAAGGAAGAAGGCUUUCGGGUUGUAAACUUCUUUUCUGGGGGACGAACAAAUGACGGUACCCCAGGAAUAAGCCACGGCUAACUACGUGCCAGCAGCCGCGGUAAUACGUAGGUGGCAAGCGUUAUCCGGAUUUAUUGGGUUUAAAGGGUGCGUAGGCGGGCUUUUAAGUCAGCGGUAAAAAUUCGGGGCUCAACCCCGUCCGGUCGUUGAAACUGGGGGCCUUGAGUGGGCGAGA
rnacentral:rRNA from 1 species